UGUGUGUGUGUGUGCUUGUAAAAAAAACAGAACGUGCAACAAGAAGCAAGAAGAAGAAGAAACGUAAUCAGCAGCUGACAAGACAACGCAAAAUUUUUUCAAUAAUUGCAAGGGAACUUAUAGUGAUAUUUACUCAAAAUUAGCCCGAGUAAGAUAAAAAUGCAUCCACGCUACAGCCCAGCACCGCCCCCUCAACAGCACCAACAGGGCGGCCCACAUCCCCACCAGAGUGGCGGAGGAGGAGGUGGCAUGCGAGGAUCGGGAAACAUGCAGCAACUGCCACCGCAGAUUCCACGAUCCCAAAACUAUUCAAACGGGAGCUCGUCUAGCGCCGCCGCCGCACCACCAACUCCGCGCAGCGCCUUCCCCGGCGCCCCGCUAACCGCCUCAGCCGUCGCACUCAAGGGCGCCCUACCCCAGCGGCCACCGGCCAUGACCAGUCCCGCUGCCGCUGCCGCCGGCGCCGCAUUGGCCGCUGGUGCACCGUAUCGUGGCGCCGCCAGCUGGACCCCGCAGGGUUAUGCCCCGGCCGCUGCUGCCGCCGCCGCUGCUGUUGCCCAGCAGGCUGCUUACCGUUAUACGGCGCCGCUACCGCAACCGGCGUAUGCCGCCUACACGCCGCACACGGCCACCACUCCGGCCACCACCACGUACGGUCAGCGAGUGCCGACGGCAGCCUCACCGAGCAACACCAACUCGAGCAGCUCCUCGAACACGGGAUCCCAGAGCGGCACCCUGAGCACCAGUCUGAGCAACACGACGAACACCAACACAAACAUGGGUCCCAACGGCACGGCACAGAAUCAAAACCAGCAGGGCGGCGAGCAGUUGUCCAAGACGAACCUCUACAUUCGCGGUCUCCAGCAAGGCACAACCGACAAGGAUCUAGUUAAUAUGUGUGCACAAUAUGGAACAAUUAUAUCAACCAAGGCUAUUUUAGAUAAAACAACAAACAAAUGUAAAGGUUACGGCUUCGUCGACUUCGAGCAGCCAGCCUUCGCCGAGUGCGCCGUCAAAGGAUUGCAGGGGAAGGGCGUGCAAGCUCAGAUGGCCAAAGUGGGUAUCUGGGUGCUUCAUAGGCCGGCCAUUCAACAGGAACAGGAUCCCACAAAUUUGUAUAUCGCAAAUUUGCCGCCUCACUACAAAGAAACUGAUCUGGAGGCAAUGCUAUCGAAAUACGGACAAGUUGUUUCGACCAGAAUAUUGCGUGAUCAGCAAAUGAACUCAAAGGGUGUUGGCUUUGCCCGUAUGGAGAGUCGCGAGAAAUGCGAACAAAUCAUCCAGAUGUUCAAUGGCAACACAAUACCGGGCGGCAAAGAUCCCCUGCUUGUGAAAUUCGCCGACGGCGGCCCCAAAAAGAAGAAUCUCUUCAAGACCCCCGAUCCGAAUGCGCGUGCGUGGCGUGAUGUCUCCGCGGAGGGUAUACCCGUUGCCUAUGAUCCGACUUUGCAACAGAACGGGGUCAGCGUUAAUGUUGGCACACCGAUCGGAGUGCCGUACUCUCGAUUCAGUGCCCCCCAGGUGGGUGGCUAUCCAGUGGCCGGCUCCCAAUGGAUACCCGGCUAUAUGAUGACCCAGACGAUCCCUCAGGUAGAUGAUCAGUACAUGCAGAUGGCAGCUGCCCCCCAGUUGGGCGUGACCUCAUACAAGCCGGAGGCGGUGAACCAAGUGCAGCCCCGUGGCAUUUCGAUGAUGGUCAGUGGCGACACGGCCGUGCCAUAUGGAACGAUGAUGCCCCAGUUGGCCACCCUCCAGAUUGGCAACUCUAACUUUUCUCCAUCGUUACAGUAUAUUAGUCCAACUUAUCCAUAUUAUGCACCACCACCAACUAUUAUACCAACAAUGCCAAUGACAGAUUCCGAACAGGCUAGCACAGCUGCAUCACCCGACGAGGCAUACACACAGUAUCCACAUCAAGCCGCUCCCAAAUAGGUCUUCGCGAGUAUAGUUACUAAGCAGUCUAAUCACUGGUAAUCCGUACUAGUUAUAAUAUAUUAGUACCCCAUUUGAGUACGAUAUAAUUUGGACGAGAGUGAGAGCAUGCGAUAGGACCUAGGAUGGAAGAAAUCAAGACACGGAACAACAGACCAGCGGAUCGGAUAUAGAAGUCAACAACAGCAACAACAACCUCAUGAACAAACAACACCAGAAGAAACAACCAGAAGAAGAGAGCCGCGGCAGAAGAAUGGGAUACUCAGCAUGCAGUUGGCGAAAUUAGAAUUUUUGGAAAUGGUUUAAACUUUAAACCCAGAAUGCCGAGGCGAAAAACAAAAAAAAAAAAUGUAUAAUUAAGGAGGUUGGAUGUGAGGAACGAAGUUUAGGGGAUACAUGAGUUAAUGUAAGCGAUGCGAUUAAAAGAAAGCCAGUCUCGAAAGAGGCUCGUGCCGAAGACGCGAGUAAAACGUGAAGAAAAGCAAAGACUAAACUUAAAUAAUAGAGAAUAGUUAUACACUAAAUAAACAACAACAACAACAAGAACAGCAAAAGCAGCAGGAGAGCAGUAAAAUGCUAUCCCAGAGAAUUGUAAACGAAAAGUUUAAGAAGGCAGUUGAAAAUAUUUACAAAAAGAAAAACUGCACGCUGCUAAGAAUUGAAAGUCAAAGGAAACUCACACGGGGGUCAGAUGAAAGAAUAGAAAGAACUUGAGGAAAUCUGCCUAGAAGAACCAUCGCAGAUUAGUGUUAAGCUGAUAUUGUUAAGCGAGACCGUGGCCGAGGGAUGUAAAAAUACAGAAAGAUACUAUUUUGCUAAUUUUGAGAUAGCAAAACAUAAGACAGAAACAGAAAUUUGUGAAGUGAACGUGAACGAUGAUGUACCGAAACAGAAAAAAAAAAAUAUAAAAAAUUUGUGUGCAAUGUAUGUUAAAGAACCGUAAAGGAUGAAAACCAGAGAAAAUAAACAAAAACGAAACAAAAACCAUUUCGAUGAUGAUAUAAACAAAGCAUAACUUUUAAGUCAAACAGCAGCCGAGCGGCACAGCAUCAGCAUCGAAGAAAGCCCCCGAAGAAAGCGAAUUGUCGCGGAAGAAAGCAAACUUUUUACCUUGCUGGAAGCACUUUCUUUGCUGUUGCUGUAGCCUGCAGAGGCAUAUGAAGAUUUUUAAGCUGUAACUACCUUUGUUUUGUUCUGUUUGUCUAAUUUGUAAUAUUUAUUUGUAUUUUUUUGUUGAAACGUGUUGAACAGCACAAAGAACGGAUGCAUGAAGAUCGUAGAUAGCCACAAAAGUGAAGAAUGAAAGAAAGAUCUUUGGUUUGAAUUCUCCUUAUGAUUUUAUUUUUUUUUUGUAAUUGUACCAAAAAUGCAAAUUGUAUAAAGCAAAGAUCCGACAAGAAGAAAAAAAAAGAAAACGAAAUGUCUAUUUCCCCCUUUUUGACAUUCAUUUUGUGCUAUCCAAGAAAAUUAAAUUAAAACAAAAGAAAUGAAAUGAAGAAAGUCCUCGAAUGGGGCAAGACCUAGGUUAAGUCUUAGCAAAACAAAACAAAAAUAAAAAAAAACAUAAGAAAAUUGCAGUAAGCCAACAGAUUUAGUAGUUCUAGAAAUCUAAAGCAAAGCAGACGAAGAGCAAGCCGAAGCUUGCGAAGAUCGACGAAGAAACACAGAGAAGAAUCGAUGAAUAGGUGGAGAAAUCUUAUACUAGUUUUUAGCAUAUUUUUUGUGCUCAUCAGUCGAUUUAAUGAAUGAAUUUUUUGUAGCUGUCUACAGUUUUUUACGUUAACUGUUUUUUAGACAUAUUAAUGAGGAAAGUAAAACCACAACAAAACUUAGGUAUAUAGUCUAUUUUUUCUGCAUAGGAACAGAGUUGUUGAAGGAGCUAGCAGAAGGAAAGGAUAGAGUUGAUUAGCAGCAAGGAAGGAAUCCAAGAGGCAAACACUUUUUAAAAGGGAAUAGCUAAAAAAAGAAAAUAAAAGAAAACCGACAACAACACACAAAAGUAGCAAAACACAGAUGAAAUGAAAAUAAAAUUUUGAAACUGUAGAAUUGUAGUUUAGCUUUGUGAAUUGGAGGAAGGACAACCAUUUUGAAGGAUUAGAAAGGAUCAACAGCAACAGCAGCAACAACAACUGGCACAUGCCGUAGCAGAAAUGUAAAACAAAGCAAAACAAAAAAAAAACAAGAAAAUUAAUGUUAAAUUUAAAAAAAAACACGAUGAAGAGUAAAGAAAGCAGAGAACUACGUUUAGUAAACUUAGUUAAUAAGCAAAGAUUUCUUUAGUCCUAUAAGCUUCUCUUAAGUAGAGUUCGAGAAUGGAGAACGGAGUUUAGAAUUGAAAUUGAACCCUUUUUAAAAAAAAGCCUAGCAUAUUUAUUUUCCUGAGACACUUAAAAACACACUGAGACACUGAGAAACCAACACGGACACACCUAUCAAGCCUAAGCAUUGUAUUUGUGAUUCUUUCGAAUGUUAAUUGAUUAACAAAACUAUUAAGCAAAUGAGAAUAGUGGCUUGAAGUGGGUUACAUGAGAAGAAGACAAGUUUUUGAGAAUCUCGAUCUUGAGAAAGGACAUUCACUCACAAGAACACAGAAGAACGAACGAACAGCAACCACACGGCAAACAACAUUCCUGAGCAAAGUCUUUGAUUUGAUUUUAGAUAUGUAUAUGUAUGUGUUGAAAAAUUUCAUUUUCGAGUUUAAACUUUAAAGUUGUCGAGUUGCCUAACUGAACUAUCUACAUAUAUACAUUAUAUAUAUAUACAUACAUACAUAAAAACGUAAGAAACACAACGCCAAAAGUCUUCCUAAGCCUAAAACCAAAAUAACAAAAUGCAAAUAUACAUUUUUUUUUUCAUCUAAUUACGAUUAUUUGCUUUAGACUGACUACGAACUGGAACUGAAACAAUAACAACAAAUGCAGGAUAUUUUAGCAAAAAAAAAAAUACACAAACAUGUAGUUAAAUGCAGGCAUCUGGAAAUAUUUUGCCAAAACAUUCCAAACGAAGAACUAAAUAUUAAAGUGAAGCAAAAUUAUCUGAAAGCUAAAUGCAAUGAGAAGAUGACUGCAUUUGUUGUCUUUGCAUGUAAAAGAAAAAUCACAAAUACAAGACCAACACAGUGGAAGGUCCUUUCGAUCCUUUUUUCCACACUCACACACAAACACUCACACACACACACGCUCACACCCUCAAACUCACACAAAGUGCAAUUUUCUUUUUGUAGUUUUCAUUAAUUUUACUUUUUUAGCAGCAACAACUUAAGCAAAUUGAGAAAGCAUUAAACUCUAAGUUAUUUAUAAAAAAAUAAAGAAAAUCGCGAAGAAUAUGGGGCGAGAGAAGAUUAGGCCUCCCUAGGAAAGUGAAAAUUAAAUUUAUGUUUUUAGAAAAGAAAAAGAAAAGCGAGUCGAUGGAGGAGAAAUGAACCUAGUUUAUAAGAUCAAAGCCUAGUGUGUAAGUUUAGAGAACCUAAGUACAGUGUUGAGAAGCAAAGAAGAACGCAAAUGAGGAAAACCAGGAGAAAGCAGAAAAGUAGAGAAGUAGAGCGAAGAAGAAGGAUAUGUAGGAACAGACGAGUAGGACAUAUGAUUUCUAGUUGGUAGCAAACAGAGAAUGAAUAGUUGGUUAGUUCGAGUGCAACACACUUAGCAAGUUGUAGUUUUUGUGUAGUUAGAGUGACGAGCGACAAGUGCUGGAAAACGCCGUGUCGCCCAGUUUGAGGUUAGGUUUAAUUUUUGAUGCAAAAAAUAAAAUGCAAGUAAAGCAAGAAAGAAGUAAUGAAAUGAAUGAUCGAAAGCAAGGACGAUGAAGAGGUAAACAAUAAAAUCAAUCGACGAGGAGUGUUCUAAUCUAAACCUAUUCUCAUACUGACUUUUUUGUGUGUAUUUAAAUCUACUUUGACAAGAAACCAAACACUUGGAACUCGUUUGUUUUGCGUCUGUAUUUUGUUUUAAUUUAAUGCGUUUUACUUUAGUUUUUUAACUAAUUUUAAGUAGUUAAUUUAUUAUUUGUCUUAAAAUCGCAGAGACCCCAUUCAAGAUUCAAGAUUGCUUGGGUUUCUCGCUCCUGAUUGAAGAACUCUCGCCAGAAGAGCGAAUCGAUUAAAAUCGAUGCAAGUGUUGAAGUAAUUUUUAAAAAUGCAAACAAAAAAAUGUCUAGUGCGUAAAAUUCAAAACUAAAAACAAGAAAAUUUUUCAAUAAAAAUGAACAAAAAAACAAAAAUAAAUAAAAAUCUUUUGUUUAUGUGCGUUUCUCUUCGUUUUGUUUAAUGUUUUACGUUUUUCUUCGAUGUGAUUUCUUAGUAGUUAAAUGUUUACUAUAUGAAUUACCAGUAAGCUUAUUCAAAACCCCUACACCAAAUAGUUUCCAAUAACAAAUUUCUUAAAUUAAUUAAAUCGUGUUGAAUUAACUUGCGUUUUAAACAGGAGGCAAAACUUAGUCGUCUUAGUCGUUGUUUAGGGGCGGGCAGAGCAGAGCGUGGAAGCGAGAUGCGAGCGCGAGUGGAAUAAAUAAACAUUUUUUAAUUAAGCCAAUUUAAGGAAAUGAUGAAUAUAUAUUUUUUUGAAACUUUUUUGACGAAACCAAGAAUAUAAACAAAAGAAACAAAAAACGAAAAAACAAGAAAAUGAAGACGCAUAAAAGUGAAAGCGCGAAGCCAGAAGAAAGAGGAACGCUAGGCAAAUCGAUGGAACAGAGACAGGAAGGAUGAAACCAAGCUCAUUAAAUUUAAAAAAUAACAAAAAAUUAAAUAAGAAAAUCAGUUUCGGAUCGAAAAGGGGGGUGGUAAUGGAGUAGAAAUGGUAAUGGAACAAAACACGACGACAAAGGCGUACACUAACUUUAAGUAAGCGUAAAAUGCAAGCAGCUAAUUAAACUUAGAAACAGAAAUACUUAAAUGAGAGUAAUGUACAUUUCGCUUGUUGCUAUUUUUAAGUUUUAAAUCAAAGUCUUUUAAAGAACUUUAUUCAUUUUCUUAUUAACAAUGAUAAAAACCAAAAAACCCACAAAAAAAAAAAAUGAAGCAAAGCAAAUGCGCAAACUGGAAAAAAAAGAAAGUUUAAAAAGAAAAAUCUCUAUAUUGUAAUUCUUCAGGAAGUAUCUGAGGGACGAUGGAAAAACGAAAGCAUGAGGAAUGCCCUUCAACUCUUUGUGUAUUUUUUAACGUAUUAUUUUUUGCAUCAAUGUGACGCUUUUAAGCAUUUUUAUAAGGCAAAUGAAUUGUAUUUAAAACUCUAGUAAAAGCUAAAAAGAACCCGAAGAACCUAAACUCUUGAAAAAAAAAACAAAGAAAAAUGCGAAAAGCGAAAUCUUUUCUACAACUUUCAAAUUUAUACACGUACUUUUUGUGCCCUCAACUUUAAUGCAAAAAAUCAUACAUUAAAAACCGAAUUGGAGAUCAAGAGAUAAAGUUAAAAACCCAAAAUAAAAAAAAGGAAAGGGAGAAGAUUUCAAAAGAAAAAUUAGUUUAAGCAAAACAUUUUGCAGCUUUUGUGCUUAUUUCGCUUAAGACUAGUUGAACAAGAAAAAAAAGUAAAUGAUGAAAAAAAAAUUAAAUGUAAUUGUAAGUAAAAAAAAAGAAAAGAGAAUAGAUCAGUAUAGAACAGAAAAGAUGGCGGGAGAAUCAAGCCGGAAGCUAAGCUAGGACAGGACGAAAUGUCGUCCUUGUCGCAAAUGAAAGCAUUAAUGCGAAAAUAGCAAAAGAUUUAAAUGUGGAAAAUGAAGAACACACAAAAGUAAAAAAUGAAGAAAACACGUCUCUUUGGUAGGAAAAAGAAAAACCUAAAGAGAAAAUGCUGUCAUCCAAAACCCCAAAAAAAAAUGAAACUGAACUUUUUCUGAAUCAAUAAAAGACAAAUUGAUUUUCUGUAAGAAAACAAAAA